GAUGAACGCUAGCGGCAGGCCUAAUACAUGCAAGUCGAACGAGAUUACGAGGCUUGCUUCUUAUGAAAGUGGCGCACGGGUGCGUAACGCGUAUGCAACCUACCUUAAUCAGGGGGAUAGCCCGAAGAAAUUCGGAUUAAGACCGCAUAAAAACACAGGAUAGCAUUAUCCAAUGUUCAAAUAUUUAUAGGAUUAAGAUGGGCAUGCGUGUCAUUAGCUAGUUGGCGGGGCAACGGCCCACCAAGGCGACGAUGACUAGGGGAUCUGAGAGGAUGACCCCCCACACUGGUACUGAGACACGGACCAGACUCCUACGGGAGGCAGCAGUAAGGAAUAUUGGUCAAUGGAGGGAACUCUGAACCAGCCAUGCCGCGUGCAGGAAGACAGCCCUCUGGGUCGUAAACUGCUUUUAUUCGGGAAUAAACCUUUCUACGUGUAGGAAGCUGAAUGUACCGAAGGAAUAAGGAGCGGCUAACUCCGUG
rnacentral:rRNA from 1 species